GAGUUCAAGGAGCAAAGAGCUUGGAGGUGGUCAAUCUUUGGUCUUAGAUCUAGAUCAAGAGUGCAUAAAACAGAAUCAGGUACCGAUCAUCGUUGAUGUGUGAGUUUUUCAUGUCUUACCAAACGAAAUCGCCAUCGAAGGGCUACUCUACUUUGCAACGAUGGAUCUGAUGUCUUGCAAGAACGAUUGGGUUGGGUAUGGGUUGCGGGUGUGGCUGCUUUUGAAGAUUGAGAAAGGAUUUUGAAGCCUUGGGCUUGCUUCUGCAUUUAAGGGAGUCGGUGGAGGGAAAGAGAGGAUGGCUCUCUGUGACUCUGUGGGAGUGAGAAGAUAAUGAUGUUAUCAAAAAAUAAAAUAAGAAAUGAAUGGUUAGUGAAGAUGACAGACAAAGAAAGAAUUAAAAAAGGAAAAGGUGGGUGGAUAUAGGUCGUCUAUCUUCCAAAAAAAGUUAUUGGCCAAAUGAA